rnacentral:lncRNA from 1 species
AUGGGAAAGACUAGAGAUCUCUUUAAGAAAAUUAGAGAUAUCGAGGGAAUAUUUCAUGCAAAGAUGGGCUUGAUAAAGGACAGAAAUGGUAUGGACCUAACAGAAGCAGAAGAUAUUGAGAAGAGGUGGCAAGAAUACAUGGAAGAACUGUACAAAAAAGAUCUUCACGACCCAGAUAAUCAUGAUGAUGUGAUCACUCAUCUAGAGCCAGACAUCUUGGAAAGUGAAGUCAAGUGGGCCUUAGAAAGCAUCACUACGAACAAAGCUAGUGGAGGUGAUGGAAUUCCAGUUGAGCUGUUUCAAAUCCUGAAAGAUGAUGCUAUGGAAGUGCUGCACUCAAUAUGGCAGCAAAUUUGGAAAACUCAGCAGUGGCCACAGGACUGGGAAAGGUCAGUUUUCAUUCCAAUCCCAAAGAAAGGCAAUGCCAAAGCAUGCUCAAACUACCUCACAGUUGCACUCAUCUCACACGCUAGUAAAGUAAUGCUCAAAAUUCUCCAAGCCAGGCUUCAGCAAUACGUGAACCGUGAACUUCCAGAUGUUCAAGCUGGUUUUCAAAAAGGCAAAGGAACCAGAGAUCAAAUUGCCAACAUUUGCUGGAUCAUGGAUAAAGCAAGAGAGUUCCAGAGAAACAUCUAUUUCUGCUUUAUUAACUAUGCGAAAGACUUUGACUGUGUGGAUCACAAUAAACUGUGGAAAAUUCUGAAAGAGAUGGGAAUACCAGAGCACCUGACCUGCCUCUUGAGAAAUCUGUAUGCAGGUCAGGAAGCAACAGUUAGAACUGGACAUGGAACAGCAGACUGGUUCCAAAUAGGAAAAGGAGUACGUCAAGGCUGUAUAUUGUCACCCUGCUUAUUUAACUUAUAUGCAGAGUACAUCAUGAGAAACGCUGGACUGGAAGAAACACAAGCUGGAAUCAAGAUUGCCAGGAGAAAUAUCAAUAACCUCAGAUAUGCAGAUGACACCACCCUUAUGGCAGAAAGUGAAGAGGAACUAAAAAGCCUCUUGAUGAAAGUGAAAGAGGAGAGUGAAAAAGUUGGCUUAAAGCUCAACAUUCAGAAAAUGAAGAUCAUGACAUCUCGUCCCAUCACUUCAUGGGAAAUAGAUGGGGAAACAGUGGAAACAGUGUCAGACUUUAUUUUGGGGGGCUCCAAAAUCACUGCAGAUGGUGACUGCAGCCAUGAAAUGAAAAGACACUUACUCUUUGGAAGAAAAGUUAUGAGCAACCUAGAUAGCAUAUUCAAAAGCAGAGACAUUACUUUGCCGACUAAGGUCCGUCUAGUCAAGGCUAUGGUUUUUCCUGUGGUCAUGUAUGGAUGUGAAAAUUGGACUGUGAAGAAGGCUGAGUCCUGA